CGAACUGCACCAGGUAAUCUAAUCUUAUCAAAUACCAGCUUCAGUGCAGAGGUUGGCAACCAGUUGCUGGGUAUACGAAGAGGCUAAUAGGUGAAGCAGGCCCCCAGAACUACUCCACAUGCAGAACAGCAACCAAAGUCAGGAUACUCCCUCUCUGGGUGAGAGAGCACCUAGGAGCAGUGAUGAUUAAGGGGCAGCUCCACUUUUCCCAAAACUCCAGAACCCCCAAACUAGAGUAAGGUAAUGCCCAGGGGAUGUGAUGUGGGUUCCUUAUAAAGAACACCAUAAAAUGUAAUGCAUGAUCCAUAUGACCCAUCCCCUGGAGAUUUAUCCAAGACAGCUGUGACGUGAAUAAAAUGUCAACUGGAGCCACAAAUUCUCCAGCUGGCCAGAAGUAGAACGUGCAAGGGACAAGAAUCAGUCCCAAGAAGCAGC